rnacentral:rRNA from 1 species
GACGAACGCUGGCGGCGUGCCUAAUACAUGCAAGUCGAGCGGACCUCUUCGGAGGUCAGCGGCGGACGGGUGAGUAACACGUGGGCAACCUGCCUGUAAGACUGGGAUAACUCCGGGCAACCGGAGCUAAUACCGGAUACUAUGUCAAACCGCAUGGUUUGGCAUUCAAAGACGGUUUCGGCUGUCACUUACAGAUGGGCCCGCGGCGCAUUAGCUAGUUGGUGAGGUAACGGCUCACCAAGGCGACGAUGCGUAGCCGACCUGAGAGGGUGAUCGGCCACACUGGGACUGAGACACGGCCCAGACUCCUACGGGAGGCAGCAGUAGGGAAUCUUCCGCAAUGGACGAAAGUCUGACGGAGCAACGCCGCGUGAGUGAUGAAGGUUUUCGGAUCGUAAAACUCUGUUGUCAGGGAAGAACAAGUGCCGGAGUAACUGCCGGCGCCUUGACGGUACCUGACCAGAAAGCCACGGCUAACUACGUGCCAGCCGCCGCAGUAAUAC